rnacentral:rRNA from 1 species
GUAUUAAAGGCGACGCUGCCCAGUGAAAAAUUAAACGGCCGCGGUAUCCUAACCGUGCAAAGGUAGCAUAAUCAUUUGACUAUUAAUUGUAGACCUGUAUGAAAGGCAAAAUGAGAGUCCAACUGUCUCUUAUAACAAAUCAAUUAAACUGAUCUCCUAGUACAAAAGCUAGAAUAUUAACAUAAGACCUGAAGACCCUGUGAAGCUUUAACUAAACUAUUAAACCAAGUAAUAGCUACCUUUGGUUGGGGCGACCUUGGAAUAAAAAAGAACUUCCAAUAUAUGACUUCCUCAUAAAACCAAGGCGAACAAGCCAAUAUUAGACCCAGUAUAACUGAUAAUCGAAAUAAGUUACUCCAGGGAUAACAGCGCUAUCUUCUUUAAGAGCCCAUAUCAAAAAGAAGGUUUACGACCUCGAUGUUGGAUCAGGACAUCCUAGUAAUGCAACCGUUACUAAAGGAACGUUUGUUCAACGAUUAACAGUCCUACGUGAUCUGAG